GAUAACCUCGGGAAACUGAGGAUAAACCGCGAUAGGUCAUCACUUCUGGAAUGGGUAAUGACUUAAACCUAUAUGGCCCCUGGAUUGGACUGCGGCCGAUCAGGCUGUUGGUGAGGUAAUGGCCCACCAAACCUGUAACCGGUACGGGCUCUGAGAGGAGGAGCCCGGAGAUGGGCACUGAGACAAGGGCCCAGGCCCUAUGGGGCGCAGCAGGCGCGAAACCUCUGCAAUAGGCGAAAGCUUGACAGGGUUACUCUGAGUGAUCUCCGUUAAGGAGAUCUUUUGGCACCUCUAAAAAUGGUGCAGAAUAAGGGGUGGGCAAGUCUGGUGUCAGCCGCCGCGGUAAUACCAGCACCCCGAGUGGUCGGGACGUUUAUUGGGCCUAAAGCAUCCGUAGCCGGUUCUACAAGUCUUCCGUUAAAUCCACCUGCUUAACAGAUGGGCUGCGGAAGAUACUAUAGAGCUAGGAGGCGGGAGAGGCAAGCGGUACUCGAUGGGUAGGGGUAAAAUCCGUUGAUCCAUUGAAGACCACCAGUGGCGAAGGCGGCUUGCCAGAACGCGCUCGACGGUGAGGGAUGAAAGCUGGGGGAGCAAACCGGAUUAGGUACCCGGGUAGUCCCAGCUGUAAACGAUGCAGACUCGGUGAUGAAUUGGCUUAUUGCUAAUUCAGUGCCGCAGGGAAGCCGUUAAGUUU
rnacentral:rRNA from 1 species